CUUAUGUAUAUCCAAUGACUACAAUAAAUGUGACCCAACAAAAUCCUGUCGAUUAUGCUAAAUUACUUCUCUCGGUAAACCCACCGAAAUCAAAAUAUUCCGUUAGCAAAACGAAAUAAAUACCUAUCAAUGAAAAUAGUUAUAAUAAUAUUCGUUUUCCUAAAAUAUGUAGGUACCUACCUAUAGCUACUUACACCCAACGUUUUCUCGCAAUACGCGAUUGUUCGUUUCCUAUUAUUUAGUUAGGUUAGGUCGAAUAGUCGUAUUAUAAUAUUAAAACGUUUUCAACUACGUGGGUAUGGUCCUCUUCCUCUAC